GACGAACGCUGGCGGCGCGCUUAACACAUGCAAGUCGAACGGAAAGGCCUGCUUUCCCUUGUGGAUUGCGGGUACUCGAGUGGCGAACGGGUGAGUAACACGUGAGUGAUCUGCCCCCAACUUGGGUAUAAGCCUGGGAAACUGGGUCUAAUUCCCGAUAGGACUGCAGGGUGGUGCCUGUGGUGGAAAACGAUUUUCUAGUGGUUGGGGAUGAGCUCGCGGCCUAUCGGCUGGUUGGUGGGGUAAUGGCCUACCAAGGCGGCGACGGGUAGCCGGCCUGAGAGGGUGGACGGCCACAUUGGGACUGAGAUACGGCCCAGACUCCUACGGGAGGCAGCAGUGGGGAAUAUUGCACAAUGGGCGGAAGCCUGAUGCAGCGACGCCGCGUGGGGGAUGACGGCCUUCGGGUUGUAAACUCCUUUCGACCGCGAGGAAGCCACCUGGUUGGAAGGGUGGUGACGGUAGUGGUAGAAGAAGCACCGGCUAACUACGUG
rnacentral:rRNA from 1 species